GUCUGGUUCAACAAUAACUGGAUUGGAAAGCAGCUGUCGUGUUAAAGAAUCAAGUCAGUUUGUACAUGAGCUCUUUGACAGAAGAAGGAGUUGGCAUUUGAGCCUGGAAGCCGUCAGGCUGAGAACGCGAGCUGAUGCGAAGUGUAAAGUGGGUGGAUUUUGCCUUCCAGCUGCACUUUCAAUGGGGGAAGUGCAGGUACUGCAGAUUUCUAUUGCCCAGUCUGGUACUGCCAUCUCCAAACUGGCAUGUCAUCCCCGAGCUGCUGCUUUCCCAUUAAAACCAAUGGAAAUUGGGGACCAAGUUCUCAAAGAAUGGACCAAGCUGCCAAUGGCUCCUCAGAGAACAGGAGGGCUGCAGCCUUGAAGUGAUUGUGCCCACAUCUCACCAGGUGCUUCGGAUCAUCAGCACAUCUCAGCUCAGAAGGCAAUGUUCAGAAAUGUCACUUGGCAGUGAGGCCCCUUGCUGAAACACUGGAAGAAGUGAUCUGUGAUCUGUCGGCAGUAACGAGACUGGGCCUUAACUGGCCCAGCUGCAAGGUCUUGACUGGGAAUGCUGGCAGGCAAAGCCAUCUCUUGGAUCUGUAAUUUGUCUCCAAACAUGGCUCUUGAAGGAUGCUAAAGUACAAAAUGUGCUUUUUUGAUAAAGCGAGUGGUACACACGUUGUUACCUCGGGGCCUUUGCUUUGCUGUGCUCUGGUUCCUGUGACCAGAUCCAGACAGGGCAGCCAGAAGAAAAAUGUGCAGGUAGAGAGAAAGAUAAUGUGGUCUCGUGGGCAGCACCGGGCGACCACAAGAGAGGAAGCAGCCAUGCCCUGGCUCUGUGUGAGCUGAGAAAUAACAGAGAGAUGGGCAUUGCUCGUCCUUCCCUCCUGCAGACAGAGCCAGAACAAUUAUCCUCCUGUUUGACUCCAGCAUGGAUGGAACUCUUGCAGCCCAGCUGCUCCUUAUGGAUCUUCCAUGAAGAUAACUUGUCUUAAAGUCCAGUACUCACUUGCAUUUCUUUGCAUCUCCUCAGCCUGCUGUGUGAGUGGAAUCGUUCAGGUGAUCUAUGCUUGAGAUCUAUUCAGUGAUUAAAGGGGCUGUGUGCUGGCUGCUGUUCCUGCUGAAAGAAAAAAGAGAAAAACAUAAAGAGGAUACAGAAUGACCACACUAAGCACUUUAAGCAAUAAACGUUUAUGCUUUUAAAAAUGGGAAAAAAUGACAUUUAAUAAGAGAAGAAAAUGAGAAUAUCAACCCCCAUAAAGCAAAUGGUGUGGAUCAGCACAGGCUCAGCUCUGCCUGAAGUGACUUGGGCUAUUCUGGUGACUUGAAAAUUCUUAUGUGAGGAGCCCUGAGUGGGAUUAUUUGCACCUAAAGCAAUUUCCAGAAUGUGAAUGGUGACCAGAACACACAGAGGCAGAAAAGCAAACGGGAAAUAGAUGGGAGAAAUCCUGCAGUGCUGGGAUGGGCAGAGCUCUGGUCACAUCAUUCACAGAAUAAAAAAUGCAGAAACUCUGAGUUCAGCCAUUCAGCAUAAGAAGUCGAUGGACAAUCUGAACUUGAGUGGAUCAAAAAGCAAUGAAAAUAUAACCAAAAUGGAACUACCUGCCCAAACACAGCAAGCGUGUAUCACAGCUAAAGAUGUCUGUAGCCCACUGAAGGCCCAUUUGAAGCACCAAAGGCUCUGCAGUUGGCUCCUUGGCAAUGCUGCAAUGGCAGCGAUGUGGCACUUCUGUGCUCAGGCUGCGUGGGGUCACGCAGGUCCUUAGGCUGCUGUAAUGUGGAGCACUGCGAAGUUUUUAAUUUCACUGUUCUGAUCCUGAGGGACUGUGCUUUCCCUGAAGCUGGUUGGCAGUGUGAGGUGCCAAAACAGGAAGAGUAAUGAAAGGGUACUCAUCCUAUCUCACAUGUCAGGCAGAGGAGCGCGCAGCAGGAGGAGAUGAUGGGUGCUCUCAAGGAUGAUUAUUUUCCACAGACUUCAGCGGGACUGGAUGUAUACUCAAGGAUGAACACACGUUUAAGUGCUAUUCCAAAGAGUGAUGCUUUCUUC
ensembl:lncRNA